rnacentral:rRNA from 1 species
UACAGAGGUCUCAAGCGUUAUCCGGAUUCACUGGGUUUAAAGGGUGCGUAGGCGGGCAGGUAAGUCCGUGGUGAAAUCUCUGAGCUUAACUCAGAAACUGCCAUGGAUACUAUUUGUCUUGAAUAUUGUGGAGGUAAGCGGAAUAUGUCAUGUAGCGGUGAAAUGCUUAGAUAUGACAUAGAACACCAAUUGCGAAGGCAGCUUACUACACAGUUAUUGACGCUGAGGCACGAAAGCGUGGGGAUCAAACAGG